rnacentral:rRNA from 1 species
AAAUUGAAGAGUUUGAUCAUGGCUCAGAUUGAACGCUGGCGGCAGGCCUAACACAUGCAAGUCGAACGGUAACAGGAAGCAGCUUGCUGCUUUGCUGACGAGUGGCGGACGGGUGAGUAAUGUCUGGGAAACUGCCUGAUGGAGGGGGAUAACUACUGGAAACGGUGGCUAAUACCGCAUAACGUCGCAAGACCAAAGAGGGGGACCUUCGGGCCUCUUGCCAUCAGAUGUGCCCAGAUGGGAUUAGCUAGUUGGUGAGGUAACGGCUCACCAAGGCGACGAUCCCUAGCUGGUCUGAGAGGAUGACCAGCCACACUGGAACUGAGACACGGUCCAGACUCCUACGGGAGGCAGCAGUGGGGAAUAUUGCACAAUGGGCGCAAGCCUGAUGCAGCCAUGCCGCGUGUAUGAAGAAGGCCUUAGGGUUGUAAAGUACUUUCAGCGG